UCACACCUAAUCUACUGGAUAGUUAACAGUUACUUGGAUAACUGCGGUAAUUCUGGAGCUAAUACAUGCACAAAGCCCCGAACUUACGUGAGGGGCGCUUUUAUUAGAUCAAAACCAAACGGCUUCGGCUGUAUCCUUGGUGACUCUGAAUAACUUUGGGCUGAUCGCAUGGCCUAGCGCCGGCGACAUAUCCUUCGAAGGUGUGCCCUAUCAACUGUCGACUGUGGCAUAGACGCCCACAGUGGUUUUGACGGGUAACGGGGAAUCAGGGUUCGAUUCCGGAGAGGGAGCCUUAAAAACGGCUACCACAUCUAAGGAAGGCAGCAGGCACGCAAAUUACCCGAAUGACCGAAGGUCGAGGUAGUGACGAAAAAAUAACGAUACGGGACUCGAUCUGAGGCCCCGUAAUCGGAAUGAGUACGACUUUAAAAACCGUCCCCGAGGAAUCUAUUGAGGAGGGCGAAGUCUGGU
rnacentral:rRNA from 1 species